GAAACCAAACCACUGGAAUCAGCUGUAGUGUACACUCUCUAGAGACAGCCUUAGGGGAGCGUCAUUAUCGGUACUUUAGCUCCACCUAGCAUUUCCCAUGUACGCGCUAAAUUGCAUUAGCUGAAGCCCAGAAACGAAAGUGUAAGCCAUCCGUUUCAGUGAAACUAUCCGCCGGCUUCGGUCCUCGAUCGCAAGUAAAUACAGCGAUUUAACGAAACUAUUUUUUUCAAGUUUUAAUCUGGAAGUGGCUUUUUAAGACCGACUGAUUGUGUUAUUUUCUGCUUUCAUUCUGUCACAGUGGAUUUUUAUUAUGAGAUGACGGACAAUAAUGAGGAGGAGCAGAUUCCCCAGAACACCCCAGUCAAUGGGAAGUAUUAUGAGUGGCAGCUGUCAGUUGGCCAUCAGUGGCUGAAAAUUGAAAAUGACCAUGUGAUUGAGACCCACUACUGCCAACCAGGAGCCAAGGGAAUCAGUAUCAAUACAAGCCAUGGGGUGGUGUUCAUAGAUUUUGAUACGUUACAGGCUAAUAAUCCAGGUAUAAAGGUGCAGAGACUAAGCUUCCUUCCUCGGGGGCAGGUGGAAGACAUAGGCUGGUACUUCAGAGAUGACCAGCUGUGGUGUGAAUAUGGAACACAGGGUUCCAACACCAUGUCAUCAUCAGUCAGCAGUAGACAAGUUGAACAGCAGUUCACCACGAACCCUCAGGGAACCUUCAGAUUUACAGUGGGCCAUACACCCUACUUGAUUGAUUUCUCCACCAUGACGCAGAAAAACAUCACCACAGGCUUACAAAGGAAGCUGCGCAGGCGUCCAAAAUUAUCCUCCAACACUGGAGCAGUUGGCUUGACCUCAGACUUGCCUGCAGCUUCCUCCUCGCAGACCGGUUCUGUGGGCUACAGGUGGGAAUUCAUGGGAGUCAGAGAGCAAUGGACAGAAUACCAAGCACAUAUAUGUUCAUUUGACAGCGCUGCUAUUGAGAGACAGUACCAGCUGAACAAACAGGGCACACUGAACUUCAAGAUUAACAGAUAUUCAUACACACUGGACUUUUCAGGUAUGUACCAAGUCAAUAACAAUUUAGGGACAAGAAGAUCAGUUAGAAGGACUCCUAUAUAUGGUGUUCAGCAGAACAUCAGUUCAGGCCCUCAGCCACAAUGGCAGUUCCUAGAUAUGGAUGGAUCAUGGAAAGAUUAUUCCAAACCGUCCAUCAAUCUUCUGCCAGGUCUGGGUCAUGGGGACAGAGAUGCUCAGACCUACCACUCCUCGCCUCCUCCUCUGCCUGAAAGUCAUGGCCUUGAAGUUGGAGAUGCUAAUUAUCAUUCCGGCUGCUACUACACACUCUGCUACAAACCAUCUCGAGAAUAUGCAGCACAUCCAGUCAGGAGAUUGAGUUCCAGUACAAACUAAACCCAUCAGGAACUAUGACAUUUUCCACCAGGAACUUUAGCUAUGAGUUAAGCUUCUCAGCCAUGACUCAGAGAAACCUGAGCACGGGCACAACCAGAACGGUGAGAAGACUUAAUCAGUGACUGAGCGGACAACAGAUUUGUAGGUCGGGGGUCAACUUAAUGAUGAUCCUACCAGUUGUGUCACUGCCCACCUCAGGUUGGCUCUCCUGUCAGAAACUGCCUCCUGCCUUCCUCCUGCCUUUAACUUAACACAACUGAUAGACAUUUACUUUGUGCCCUCCGAAGAUAUGUUGUUUUUAAUGCAAGCGUUAUAAAUUUUUUUUUUCCACAUUUUAAGAUGACACUACGUUUAGUGUUAAGCAGUAAAAUGUAUUUCCUUUAUCAGUUUUCUACAUUUCUGGGUUUAGGGCUGGUUUUAGCAGAUUAUUCCAUAUUUAAAUAAGUGGAAUCAUUUACAAAUAAAUCAGUGGGAGGAAAAAAAAAAAACUUGAGUUUACUUUAAGCCUUUUGUUAACUUAACUAUGGUUUCAUAAAAUGCAACAUGCUUUAGUAAAUCUUCAAAUAUUCACAAGUUGUUGUAAUGACUGGAAUUUUUAAAAGUUUUCCCUUUUUAUCCUUUGUCCUUAGCAUGCAUGUUUUUAAGAAUUUAUUAAAAGUGCCUUUUAAUCAGUGCACUUUGCUUGUGUUUACUUUCCUUAAUUGAGGUUCCUUACAUUUACAUUCCAAAAUCUAAAUUCGUGUUUUAAAGUCAUCAAAGAAAUAACCACCAUAUAUGGUGUACAGAUGUGUAUAUGUACAAAUCUUCAACCUAAGAAACCAGCACUGUGACACAUAAAACAAAGCCAUAUUACACAUGCAGGACAGCAGCUGUAUA